rnacentral:rRNA from 1 species
CAGCCGCCGCGGUAAUACGAAGGGGGCUAGCGUUGCUCGGAAUUACUGGGCGUAAAGGGAGCGUAGGCGGACAUUUAAGUCAGGGGUGAAAUCCCAGAGCUCAACUCUGGAACUGCCUUUGAUACUGGGUGUCUUGAGUGUGAUAGAGGUAUGUGGAACUCCGAGUGUAGAGGUGAAAUUCGUAGAUAUUUGGAAGAACACCAGUGGCGAAGGCGACAUACUGGAUCAUUACUGACGCUGAGGCUCGAAAGCGUGGGGAGCAAACAGGAUUAGAUACCCCGGUAGUCCCUGUCUCUUAUAA